AGUUCUUAAAAGUGAUUAAUUACAAAAUUACGGUUGAAAUCUAAAGAAUCAGGAGAAAGUAUAUAAGAGUUGUAGAAGUUAAUUAAGGUGCCAUCGCUGUGAUAGUUGUAAGCCAAGGUAAGCUUGGUGCUACCUCUUUUCUUUUGUUUGUUAUUUUCUUUGAAUAAGAGGAUUCAGAGUUUCUGAAUAUUGUGAAGUGAAUUAUGGAAUGGAAAUGUGAUUGGUAUUAUUUGAGAAGAAGAAAGAUUGAAUGCUGAAAUCUGAUUGUAGUUCAGCAGAGAGAAUGAGUCUGUAUUUGUGUGAAACACUGUAAUGUGAAUGGCAGUUCUGUGUGAAGAAUUCUAGUGAUUGGAACGAGGAUAAUUGUGUGUUGAAAGUUGUGAGGGCACAGUAUUACAAUUGGAGAUUAUAAGGGUGAAUAUAUUGGUGGAAAUAGCAGUUAUUAAUAUGACUAAAUUGCUGUAAAGAAGAGACCGAUAAGGUGAAGGAAGAGAUUAUAGUUUCUUUGUAUGUUCAGA
rnacentral:lncRNA from 1 species